rnacentral:misc_RNA from 1 species
AACAUCGCGCACCUGCGGGAACCUGCGGAGGGAUCAUUAACAAUUGACCAUUUCAUAUGGAUCAAUCAAAAAUCCAUAUCCACCUUGUGUGCACUCACUGAACGUAUGCUUUGGCAGCGCAGCGUCUGGACACGGAUCCUGGUCCGUGCCUUCCAGCGGGGACCGACAUUUGUUUGGUUUCCCGGCCUGCCAGGGUUUUCUAAUGUCAAAACUUCAACGCAUCCAAACUAUAUUGCCUGA